UCCCUGGAACUGCAAAGUGAACCUUCACAAGAAUGGAACUAUGUAUUAGGUAUAGAAAUGGUGAUUAACGCUAACCUGAGAAGCAUCUACAACUGGUUUUGAAUAGCUAAAUAGAUGUGACUUAAUUUGGCAACCUCAGGAAGGGGACCAGACUUCCUUCAUACGUCUUUUCUUUUUCUAACCAGACAUCCGAGUAAAUUGGCUCUCACCACUCUGAACCCGCACAUGGGAUUUGCCACGUUCCUCUGGGGACUCCUCUGGAUUACCCUUCUGUGUCCUGUCGCCUCCUGGUGGCCAACGUCUCCGUGGAUCGAUCCCCAACGUCUUGUGGUGAAGUAUGGUGAUGGAGCCACAGCAUCCUGCAGUAGUACUGACCCUGGUGCUGUCAUACGCUGGAAUGCAACAGUGGGAGCUAAGGAAGAGAAAACUAUGAAGCUGGAGGGUGGACAGUGUGACUGACUAGUCACUGAAUAAUGGCAUAACAUGCUUUUCAGAAACAAAUAAUGGUAAAGAACAGACCCAUCUACCCAUCACCAUUUACAGUAAGAACAUUAUAUUUCAGUAAAUAUGAGAGGUGUUUGUGGUGAAGUAUGGUGAUCCAGCCACAGCAUACUGCAGUAUCAAUGACCCCAUAAUACCCCUACUGACCUGUUCCCUGUUAUUGUCCAGUCUUCUGUCUUUCUGUUAAUCAGUCUGUGUAUUUUUACCCUCCUCUGUCCUUUGUCGGUUUGUCUCUCUGUUUACCCUGUCUGAGUCAUGUCCGUAAGUAAGUUCAUAAAUGUAAGUUUGUAGUACUAGUAGUUUGUUACAAUAAAGUGGGUUUUUCUAAACUUUUGCCUGGAAGAUUCUUGCCCUUGGGUCCUAUCCUGCCGUACCGUGACAAAAACAUGCACACAAUUUUGUAAAUUGUGGUUACA